CUGUCCGCCGGGUCCGCCUUCUUGGUGUGUACUUGUUGGAUGGGACCUUACCUCCUGGUGAACGGCGAUGUCCUUUACUGGGUGUCGUCGCAAACCAGGACGUUUACUUUGAAAAAAUUAGAGUGUUCAAAGCAGGCCUUUGCCCGAAUACAUUAGCAUGGAAUAAUAGAAUAGGACGCGCGUUCCCAUUUUGUUGGUUUCUGAGAUCGCCGUAAUGAUUAAUAGGGAUAGUUGGGGGCAUUUGUAUUCCGACGUCAGAGGUGAAAUUCUUGGAUUGCCGGAAGACAAACUACUGCGAAAGCAUUUGCCAAGGAUGUUUUCAUUGAUCAAGAACGAAGGAAGGGGGAUCGAAAACGAUUAGAUACCGUUGUAGUCUCUUCUGUAAACUAUGCCGACUAGGGAAA
rnacentral:rRNA from 1 species